GACGAGGUGGCCGAGUGGUUAAGUGGUGGAUGGACUGCUAAUCCAUUGUGCUCUGCACGCGUGGGUUCGAAUCCCAUCCUCGUCG